GAUAUGGUGGUUGCAGGUGUUGCAGUUUUUCUGAGGUUGUGGUUGAAGAGUUCAAGUUUAAUGACCAGCCGAACGAUGUGAAGUUCCAAGGAACUAAUCAUGGCGGACAUGGCGGUGGAGGAAUGGCGGAAGCGGACAUGGUGGUGGCGGA